rnacentral:rRNA from 1 species
GCCAUCAUUUAAAGAAAGCGUAAUAGCUCACUGGUCGAGUCGGCCUGCGCGGAAGAUGUAACGGGGCUAAACCAGGCACCGAAGCUGCGGCAGCGACACGAAUGUGUUGCUGGGUAGGGGAGCGUUCUGUAAGCCGUUGAAGGUGAACUGUGAGGUUGGCUGGAGGUAUCAGAAGUGCGAAUGCUGACAUAAGUAACGAUAAUGCGGGUGAAAAACCCGCACGCCGGAAGACCAAGGGUUCCUGUCCAACGUUAAUCGGGGCAGGGUGAGUCGACCCCUAAGGCGAGGCUGAAAAGCGUAGUCGAUGGGCAACAGGUUAAUAUUCCUGUACUUGGUGUUACUGCGAAGGGGGGACGGAGAAGGCUAUGUCAUCCGGGCGACGGUCGUCCCGGUUUAAGCGUGUAGGUGGGGGUUCCUGGUAAAUCCGGAGCCCUGAUAACACUGAGGCGUGAUGACGAGGCACUGCGGUGCUGAAGUGACAGAUGCCCGGCUUCCAGGAAAAGCCUCUAAGCAUCAGGUAACAUGAAAUCGUACCCCAAACCGACACAGGUGGUCAGGUAGAGAAUACUCAGGCGCUUGAGAGAACUCGGGUGAAGGAACUAGGCAAAAUGGUGCCGUAACUUCGGGAGAAGGCACGCUGGCGUCAGGUGAAGAAACUUGCUUUCGGAGCCGAGGCCAGUCGCAGAGACCAGCUGGCUGCAACUGUUUAAUAAAAACACAGCACUGUGCAAACACGAAAGUGGACGUAUACGGUGUGACGCCUGCCCGGUGCUGGAAGGUUAAUUGAUGGGGUUAUCCUUAGGGAGAAGCUCUUGAUCGAAGCCCCAGUAAACGGCGGC